rnacentral:rRNA from 1 species
GACGAACGCUGGCGGCGUGCCUAAUACAUGCAAGUAGAACGCUGAAGAGAGGAGCUUACUCUUCUUGGAUGAGUUGCGAACGGGUGAGUAACGCGUAGGUAGCCUGCCUUGUAGCGGGGGAUAACUAUUGGAAACGAUAGCUAAUACCGCAUAACAAUGGAUGACACAUGUCAUUUAUUUGAAAGGGGCAAUUGCUCCACUACAAGAUGGACCUGCGUUGUAUUAGCUAGUAGGUGAGGUAAUGGCUCACCUAGGCGACGAUACAUAGCCGACCUGAGAGGGUGAUCGGCCACACUGGGACUGAGACACGGCCCAGACUCCUACGGGAGGCAGCAGUAGGGAAUCUUCGGCAAUGGGGGCAACCCUGACCGAGCAACGCCGCGUGAGUGAAGAAGGUUUUCGGAUCGUAAAGCUCUGUUGUAAGUCAAGAACGGGUGUGAGAGUGGAAAGUUCACACUGUGACGGUAGCUUACCAGAAAGGGACGGCUAACUACGUG